UACGGAGGGGGCUAGCGUUGUUCGGAAUUACUGGGCGUAAAGCGCACGUAGGCGGCUUUGCAAGUCAGAGGUGAAAGCCCGGGGCUCAACCCCGGAAUUGCCUUUGAGACUGCAUCGCUAGAAUUGUGGAGAGGUAAGUGGAAUUCCGGGUGUAGAGGUGAAAUUCGUAGAUAUUCGGAAGAACACCAGAGGCGAAGGCGACUUACUGGACACAUAUUGACGCUGAGGUGCGAAAGCGUGGGGAGCGAACAGG
rnacentral:rRNA from 1 species